AAAAAGUUUGCUGUUGUUGGAAUUUUAUUUGAAGGGAUGUCGAAGCGAAAAAAAGAAAAAUCAUUUGAGCUUUCUGAUGAUGAUGGAGUAACAGUCAAACAUUUUUUUGAUAUUUGCGGUUAAUUCGAUGUAAAAUCAUCAUCAUCUGUCGCUUCUCGUCAUUUGGGCUUUGGAAAUUGGUGAGUUGAUGUUAAAAUUUGUUUGUUUUUGUUUCAUUUCAGAUUGGGUUUAGUAGAAGAAAAAUCACCCGCUAUCCGAUAAUGUGCAUCAGGAAACAUCGAAAAAGGCAAAUCCCGCUCUGCAUGGGCCGCCAGGCGCCGGACGGCUGGUUUAUUGAUGGCUGGAGCAGUCUCCGCGUCCGAGAAGUAGGAUAUGUCACACGCAGAACCAUUCCCGAUUCGAUUACGCCGAAGAAAGUGGAAAGGUCACAGCAGAAAACGGCAUCCGAAUCCGGCAACAGCAAAAGUUAAUAACAUAGGAAAAGCACAGACGGUUCUUAAGAUAAAGGAACAGGAAGGCAAAGCGCAUGUACAGGACUAAUACUGCAGAAACAGCUGGGAAACGAGCUGAACCAAGAGAUGUUGGAUCUGACCUUAAAUAUUCUUAGUGCCAAUCCGGCCAUCGUCUCAGUUGAAUCUUCGAUCGGUGUGCAUCGAAAA